rnacentral:lncRNA from 1 species
AUGUCCAGAAAUGCCCCAAACAUCCCCAAAUUUGCCCGAAACGCUCUCAGUGCCGUUUCUGUGCCCAGAGCUGCUCUGCAGCUGGACCUGGGCAAGGCUGGGCUGCUCGGUGCUGCUGGCACCCCAAAAACCAUCCCUAAAAUGUCCCCAAAUGUUCCUAAACAUCCCCAAAAUGUCCCAAAUGUCCCCAAACAUCCCCAAACAUCCCCAAAAUGUCCCAACUGCCAUUUCUGUGCCCCAGAGCUGCUGUUUGGCCAGGCCCGUGCUGCGGCGCCCUGGCCAGUGCACGGCGUGCUCGGUGCUGCUGUCACCCCAAAAACCAUCCCAAAAUGCCCCCAAACAUCCCCAAAAUGUCCCCAAAAUGUCCCCAGAUGUCCCCAAAUGUCCCCAACUCCCAUUUCUGUGCCCCAGAGCUGCUGUUUAGCCAGGACCGUGCCGCGGCAUCCCGGCCGGUGCACGGCGUGUUCAGUGCUGCUGUCACCCCAAAAACCAUCCCUAAAAUGUCCCCAAAUGUUCCUAAACAUCCCCAAAAUGUCCCCAAACAUCCCCAAAUGUUCCCAAAUGUCCCCAGCUCCAUUUCUGUGCCCAGAGCUGCUGUUCGGCCAGGCCCGUGCCUGGCAUGCUCGGUGCUGCUGUCACCCCAAAAACCAUCCCCAAAAUGUCCCCAAACAUCCCCAAAUGUUCCCAAACAUCCCAAAAAUGUUCCCAAACAUCCCCAAAUGUCCCAACUGCCAUUUCUGUGCCCCAGAGCUGCUGUUUGGUCAGGCCCGUGCCGCGGCGCCCCGGCCGGUGCACGGUGUGCUCGGUGCUGCUGUCACCCCAAAACCGUCCCCCAAAUGUCCCAAACAUCCCCAAACAUCCUCAAAUAUCCCCAAAUGUUUCCAAAAUGUCCCGAAAAUGUCCCCAUCUCCCAUUUCUGUGCCCAGAGCUGCUGUUCGGCCAGGCCCGUGCCGCGGCGCCCCGGCCGGUGCACGGCGUGCUCGGCGGCUCGGUGCUGCUGUCGCCGGCGCUGCCGCCCAACCGGACGGUGAAGGAGAUCGAGUGGAGCUUCUCGGCGGGCACCGGUGCCACCAUCCAGGUGGCCGAGGUGGGCCCGGGCGGCUUCGAGCGGCCGGACCCGCGGGACCGUUUCGGCGGGCGCCUGGAGCCCGUCAACGGCACGGCGCUGCGGCUGCGGCAGCUGCAGCGCGGCGACAGCGGCGUCUUCGCGGCCCGCAUCAAGCUGCAGCCGGCCCUGGUGGAUGA